AGAUAUUUUCUGUUUUUCCCUCCAAAUUUACUAUCCACUCUUUUUCAGCCUUUUCUGUUUCCCAGAGGCUGACUUUAUGGAUUACAUCAAUGGGAUAUCUUAUCCUCUGGAUUUUGUUUAGGUUUGGCCAAUGGGAUACAUAGACAGGAGAUCUAUGUGUGGGAAAAUAAUGAGAUUGGCAUGUUUAUUUGCCUUCCUUCCUCACUACCAACUUACCAUGGGCUUGCUGUGUUCCUUUUCUGAGGACCACAGCUCUGACCUGGUGAUCCUCUCCUACAGCUACUCUCACUGGGUUUUAGUAUCCACUUUGUCCCCUUCCUCCUUAAGGCUUAGGGGAUUUCUUGUUGCUAGUCCCUAGGGUACUGCACCAUCCCUUGUUGAUUCCCUUUAACCCCUUCUAUAGACCUUUAUUAAAGUGUCUUCAAAGACCCCUAACUAUACCAUUUGUUUCCUUCUAGGACUUUAUUUUUUCAUUUGACAGCCACAGAAGCUGACUUUGGCUGAAUUAAGCAAUGAAGAAAUUAACUGCAAAGGUUAUUAGGUUUUCUUGGGAGACAAAGGAGGAUGAGUGAGUGAGCCAUUCAUGAUAAAUGAACUUCAGCCUUACUAUCUCCCCAAAUUGCUGGAUACCUUUCAAUGCAUUAUACCAAGGAUUUCCUGACAGACCCUUCGACUUCAUUUAAUGUAGUGACAUUGAGAAGAAGGUCGUCACCAAGUAAACAAAAAAUUAAAACCAUUUGCAGCUGCUCAAGCCAAUACAUCAAAUUCGGAAUCCUUGGUAAGUAAACUCAUAUUGAUAAAUGAUUCUCAAAAUUGUUAGUCCGCUCUUGGCCUUGUGCCCUUAGAGUCAAUUCCCAGACAUCCUCUCCAAUUUUUUUAAUGUUAAAAUAAUCACCCUUGCGGUUCUUUUCACGAUUAGGUUUUUUCUGUCGGGUUGAAUUUUGUAACUGGCUCUCUAUGGAAUGCCACACUUUGAUUCUGGUUAUAGGUCCAGUGACAAUCCGAAGGGG
rnacentral:lncRNA from 10 species